GGGUUUCCCGGAAGAUGGCGGACUGAGAAGCUGCAAGUGGCUUGAGCUCCGACCACAUCUCCUGGAAAUAAUGCCACCAGGAUGCUGGCUAGGCUUCCCUGGAUUGAAGACCCCACCAAUGUGUCCUGAAGCUCAGCUUCCCCAGAGACACACCCUACUAGGGAAA